rnacentral:rRNA from 1 species
CAGUCGCCGCGGUAAUACGAAGGGUGCAAGCGUUAAUCGGAAUUACUGGGCGUAAAGCGCGCGUAGGUGGUUUGGUAAGAUGGAUGUGAAAUCCCCGGGCUCAACCUGGGAACUGCAUCCAUAACUGCCUGACUAGAGUACGGUAGAGGGUGGUGGAAUUUCCUGUGUAGCGGUGAAAUGCGUAGAUAUAGGAAGGAACACCAGUGGCGAAGGCGACCACCUGGACUGAUACUGACACUGAGGUGCGAAAGCGUGGGGAGCAAACAGGAUUAGAUACCCGAGUAGUCCCUGUCUCUUAUAC